rnacentral:rRNA from 1 species
AUUGAACGCUGGCGGCAUGCUUUACACAUGCAAGUCGAACGGCAGCGCGGGCUUCGGCCUGGCGGCGAGUGGCGAACGGGUGAGUAAUGCAUCGGAACGUGCCCAGUAGUGGGGGAUAGCCCAGCGAAAGCCGGAUUAAUACCGCAUACGACCUGAGGGUGAAAGCGGGGGACCGAAAGGCCUCGCGCUAUUGGAGCGGCCGAUGUCGGAUUAGCUAGUUGGUGGGGUAAAGGCUUACCAAGGCGACGAUCCGUAGCUGGUCUGAGAGGACGACCAGCCACACGGGGACUGAGACACGGACAGGGCUCCUACGGGAGGCAGCAGUGGGGAAUGUUGGACAAAGGGGGCAACCCUGAUCCAGCCUUGGCGCGGGCGAGAAACAGGCUGUCGGGUUGUAAACCGGGGUUGUUCGGGAAGAAAGCAUCUGGGCUAAUACCCCGCGGGGAUGACGGUACCGGAAGAAUAAGCACCGGCUAACUACGUG